AACGAACGCUGGCGGCGCGUCUUAAGCAUGCAAGUCGGACGGCAAGGCGGGAGCUUGCUCCUGCCCUAGAGUGGCGGACUGGUGAGUAACACGUGGGUGACAUGCCUUGAGGACGGGGAUAGCCGGUAGAAAUAUCGGAUAAUACCGGAUAAGCCCAUCACUGUUAGAGGGUGAUGGGGAAAGGGGCUACGGCCCCGCCUUAAGAUUGGCCCGCGGCCCAUUAUGCUAGUUGGCGGGGUAACGGCCCACCAAGGCUCUGAUGGGUAUCCGGCCUAAGAGGGUGAACGGACACAUUGGGACUGAGAUACGGCCCAGACUCCUACGGGAGGCAGCAGCUAAGAAUAUUCCGCAAUGGGCGAAAGCCUGACGGAGCGACGCCGCGUGGGUGAGGAAGGCCGAAAGGUUGUAAAGCCCUUUUGAACCUGAAGAAUAAGCGCCGGAGGGAAUGCCGGUGUGGUGACGGUAGGGUUUGAAUAAGC
rnacentral:rRNA from 1 species